GAUAGCUCAGUCGGUAGAGCAUGAGACUCUUAUGUCUCAAAGAUCAUGGGUUCAAGUCCCGUCCCCCCACCA